GCCAGACAGCAGGUCUUGGAUGAUGAUGGAGGCGAAGCUGCCAGGUCCUGUGAUAGGGUCACUGUCUGACUGUGCUACUGACACAGCACAGUCACCACUGACUGGAGCCGGCUGAGGAUAGAGGAGGCUGAGAAGCGCAUGCACGCUCCACACACAGCGCUCCUCUUUGGCACGGACCGGACACCCUACCUCAUCACUUUACCGCCGCAUUCGCCAGCCAGACUGACAGGGCAGAGCUGCGGUGCUGCAAGAUGGGGAGAGACUGGAUAGUGCACUAGCACAGAUUCAGUGAAGACGAGCCGUGGAUGGAGAAUUCUUUAAGAUAUCCUGAUCCAGAUGAGGAAUAAAAAGAAAAGUGACUCAACUUCUAUAUGAGCACUGUAGAACAUGAAAAUAUGAUUGGAUGGAGGAGGAGGAACAUCUCAUCUGUUUGAAAAUUGUUUAGAGAAGCGUUUUAUAUGCUGUGAUUGUUUAACAUAGUGUUUCUUUGUGUCAGGGGGAGUGUUACUAUAUUACUUUUAUGAAUAAAAAGAUUUUUUUG